rnacentral:rRNA from 1 species
GGGGCAACCUGGUGGCGAGUGGCGAACGGGUGAGUAAAGUAUCGGAACGUACCAUUCAGUGGGGGAUGACGUAGCGAAAGUUACGCUAAUACCGCAUAUUCUCUUAGGAGGAAAGCAGGGGAUCGCAAGACCUUGCGCUGAUUGAGUGGCCGAUAUCAGAUUAGCUAGUUGGUGAGGUAAAGGCUCACCAAGGCGACGAUCUGUAGCGGGUCUGAGAGGAUGAUCCGCCACACUGGAACUGAGACACGGUCCAGACUCCUACGGGAGGCAGCAGUGGGGAAUUUUGGACAAUGGGGGCAACCCUGAUCCAGCCAUGCCGCGUGAGUGAAGAAGGCCUUCGGGUUGUAAAGCUCUUUCGGCCGGGAAGAAAUCGCAUGGGUUAAUACCCUGUGUGGAUGACGGUACCGGAAUAAGAAGCACCGGCUAACUACGUGCCAGCAGCCGCGGUAAUACGUAGGGUGCGAGCGUUAAUCGGAAUUACUGGGCGUAAAGCGUGCGCAGGCGGUUUUGUAAGACAGGCGUGAAAUCCCCGGGCUUAACCUGGGAACUGCGCUUGUGACUGCAAGGCUAGAGUACGGCAGAGGGGGGUGGAAUUCCACGUGUAGCAGUGAAAUGCGUAGAGAUGUGGAGGAACACCAAUGGCGAAGGCAGCCCCCUGGGUCGAUACUGACGCUCAUGCACGAAAGCGUGGGUGGCAAACAGGAUUAGAUACCCUGGUAGUCCACGCCCUAAACGAUGUCAACUAGGUUGGGUGGGUAAAACCAUUUAGUACCUGAGCUAACGCGUGAAGUUGACCGCCUGGGGAGUACGGCCGCAAGGUUAAAACUCAAAGGAAUUGACGGGGACCCGCACAAGCGGUGGAUGAUGUGGAUUAAUUCGAUGCAACGCGAAAAACCUUACCUACCCUUGACAUGUUCAGAAGUCUCGAGAGAUUGAGAUGUGCCCGAAAGGGAGCUGGAACACAGGUGCUGCAUGGCUGUCGUCAGCUCGUGUCGUGAGAUGUUGGGUUAAGUCCCGCAACGAGCGCAACCCUUGUCGUUAAUUGCCAUCAUUUAGUUGGGCACUUUAACGAGACUGCCGGUGACAAACCGGAGGAAGGUGGGGAUGACGUCAAGUCCUCAUGGCCCUUAUGGGUAGGGCUUCACACGUCAUACAAUGGUCGGUACAAAGGGUCGCCAAGCCGCGAGGUGGAGCCAAUCCCAGAAAGCCGAUCGUAGUCCGGAUCGUAGGCUGCAACUCGCCUGCGUGAAGUCGGAAUCGCUAGUAAUCGUGGAUCAGCAUGUCACGGUGAAUACGUUCCCGGGUCUUGUACACACCGCCCGUCACACCAUGGGAGCGGGUUCCGCCAGAAGUAGGUAGCCUAACCGCAAGGAGGGCGCUUACCACGGCGGGGUUCGUGACUGGGGUGAAGUCGUAACAAGGUA